CAUAAGAACAUUAUUUUGCCAUUUCAUUUGUCAUAACAUUUGGAAUACAUUGGCUUUUUAUGUCCAAUUUUAAUUUUGAUUUCACCAGUGUAUUGUUGCAAUGACAUUGUCAAUAUGACCUCAUUCUAUUGUUACGUCACCAUGAUGUCGUGCAUGAUGACACAAUGCCAUCAUACCCUUGUGACUAUAACAUAAUCACUAAUUUAAUUAAAGGAUUUAAAUAUGUAUUUUUGUUGUAACUCAAAAAUGCCCCAUCACUGGGGUGAUCUUGACAGAGAAUUGCCUAUAUUAUCUGCAAAAUCACAGGAAGUUGCUAUGUGCUUACAAAUUUAUCUAUUUUCUGUUUUUGAAUAUGUCCAAACAUUAUCCUGUAAUAUGACAUCACCCAUUAGGUGUAUUUCUUUAUUGGACGGUUUUCUCACUGAUUAGACUGGUGGUGGUGGAAGUUGUUUGUUUCUUCUUGAAAAUGAAACGUGUCAAUAUCAUUCUCGAAAAGAAAUGGAUAAUUUCCACCAUCACCGGUCUGAUCAGUGAGAGGACUGUCCAAUGAUGAAAUUCACCCUUAAAGAAUAAGCACAUAAGUUACAUGGUAAAGCAGUUGCUUCCCAUCUUGAAAGAUCCAGUUUCAGUUCUGAAUGUCACACUUUCCAGUUUUUCUGAAGAGAUCCAUGUUUGGGCCCAGCUUGUUAUCUAAAAAUAAUCCUCUGUAAGUAUGGAUCCAUGCAUGUCACAUCUGCAUAAGUCAGGGAUUGUCUGUAAUGUCAUUUCUGC
rnacentral:lncRNA from 1 species